AAGGACAGCAUCUUAUCAUCUUUGUGUCCCCAGAGCUCAGGGACUCUGGAAAUAUUUGUUGAAUGAAGGAGGUUACAAGAGGAAGCACAAUGAUACGGCGAAAGAGCACAGGAUAUUUAUUCAAGUGAUCUGAGUGCCUGCUCUGCCAUGCACAACCCAUGUGACACUGGGCAAGUCUGUUUUCUCCACUCUAACCUGAGACUGAUAGCCCUGUCUGUCUCCCACAGUCUCUGUGGGGAACAGAUGAUAAAACUGAGCACUGGAAAUAUUAAGACCACAAAAAUGGUGUGCUGCAUUGCUGGGGUUUGGAGCCCCACGGUCCGCUCAGGCGAAACCAGAUCCAGUGAGAGACGAACGUGACUGAGAAGAGCAGGAGCCUAGCAGCCUAGGAAUGGCCUGUCCUGACACACUUUUGGAGAGCGUGGGCACAAGAAGGCAGCUGUUCCCCACAAAAGAGAAGAACCAGCCUGGGUGACCGAGGAUAUGGCACAAACCUGCCCACCAGGAAAUUCCAAGUUGCCGUUAGUUGGCCCUGCCUUCCAACAGGAGCAUGAGCAGAAAGGCCUUCUUGUACCUGAUCCACACAUCAGACUUCCAGCAUCAUACCCUUCUCCCCGUCUGACUGCCCAGACUCUGUGUACCACCUAAGACAAAUUCAAAACCUGUCCUUGAAUUUGUCCCCAGUGAUAGCCCCAUGCCUAAACUUUGUUUUGUAUACUCCCUCUUUCUUACUCUUCUCUAAAUGUUUCAAAUGUAUAUAUCUUUUCGACUAAUUCGCACAUUUCUUAAAGGCAAGUAAUUCUUACCAUUUUCUAAAACCCUGCAGUGGUUAUCACAGAGCUGGCCACAUGGUAGAAACAAUACUCAACACACUUAUUUAUUGAUAGACCCCAUAGCAAUCUUUUGGUAUAAUAUCUAUAAUUCAUAUUAAAACAGUUUAGCAUAAACUGUAUGAUAUUAUGCAAUUUCUGGUUAGUUCAAGCUUUAACUCUAGAAAUGUCAGUUGCCAUUUUUGAGAAUCCACAUUCCAGAAAUAUUUGAUUGAUAUCCAAGCGUUGAUAGCCUGUGGUUCCGACACCCAAAUCUUGAGCAAUACCCAAGGCUUUAUUAACAAGUAUAGUGAAUGUCUGAAAAGGGUAUUGAUUAGUAAAAUUUGUUGCUAAUAAAUUAACAUAAUGAAUAUUAGCAUGGGCCUCAAUGAUAAAAAAUAAAGGUGUUCAAGAAGUAUGAGUUGGCCUAAACAUUUUGAAGACACGCCCAACCCUGAACAGAGUCUAUAAACCUGGAGGUAUCCGUGGCCUGGACUCUGCAGGAUGGUGCUCAAGCUUGAUGCGUGAACAGCCCCGUGUCCAGCCACGGCUGUAGGAGCAUCCCGUGCCCGAGGCUGACCUGCAUCAGUACCAGGGCCUGCGUCAGAG
ensembl:lncRNA